AAAAUGCGAGAAAAUAAUAAGCUGUUUGGAUAGGUUGAAAUUUACUUGAAAAAUGUGAAAUCUCAACGAACACCAGUAGCAACGAACAAGCGAAAAAGCAACCUUAUUAUUGAUUUUAUUUCGACAUAAACACAACAUUAAACCUCACCCUUAGACCCAAUCAACAUUAAACCUCACAUUGCAACUUCACUAGCCUUCCUUUUGAUUUUCCCAAGCUUGUAAUAAGAAGGUGCAUAUCUUACUUUUCUAUAACCUGCUUUGCUUGACUUUUUGGUCUUACCCAACUUUUCUUCAAGCUCCUUCACUCUUUCAGUCAAGUUGGAUAUGACAGUGAGUUGAUCUUUUCCAGCUUCCAUAAGUUUCUCCAUCAUCUCGUUCAAUUUCUUGUUCUCUUCAACCACCUUAUUAUCUUCUCCAAUCUUCGCUACAUUUGGUUUCCAAGAAGCAUCGGCUUGAAGCAGCUUGUUCAUUUCCUUUUCCAGCUUUGCUUCUUCCUUCUCUUCACUUCCUACUGGCUGCUCUGCAUCUUUCAUCUCCUCAAACAAUACUAGUUUCUCCUCAGUUGCUUCGCUUCCUGCUUCUGAUUCGGAUGAUGCCAUAUGAUCACCAGGAAUCACACCUGAAUCAUCCUCAUGUCGUUGCAGGCCCUCAUUAUUUUUUUCACCUAUUGUUGAGUGGAUUUCCUCCGGUUUAAAGAACAUUGUGCAUUUGUUGUCGUCCACCUCCUCUUGGCUGAUCUCUACUUCUUUCUCAUCCCGUGCAGUAGCAACGAACAAGCAAAAAAGCAACCUUAUUAUUGAUUUUAUUUCGACAUAAACACAACAUUAAACCUCACCCUUAGACCCAAUCAACAUUAAACCUCACAUUGCAACUUCACUAGCCUUCCUUUUGAUUUCCCAAGCUUGUAAUAAGAAGGUGCAUAUCUGACUUUUCUAUAACCUGCUUUGCUUGACUUUUUGGUCUUUUUGGUCUUACCCAACUUUUCUUCAAGCUCCUUCACUCUUUCAGUCAAGUUGGAUAUGACAGUGAGUUGAUCUUUUCCAGCUUCCAUAAGUUUCUCCAUCAUCUCGUUCAAUUUCUUGUUCUCUUCAACCACCUUAUUAUCUUCUCCAAUCUUCGCUACAUUUGGUUUCCAAGAAGCAUCGGCUUGAAGCAGCUUGUUCAUUUCCUUUUCCAGCUUUGCUUCUUCCUUCUCUUCACUUCCUACUGGCUGCUCUGCAUCUUUCAUCUCCUCAAACAAUACUAAUUUCUCCUCAGUUGCUUCGCUUCCUGCUUCUGAUUCGGAUGAUGCCAUAUGAUCACCAGGAAUCACACCUGAAUCAUCCUCAUGUCGUUGCAGGCCCUCAUUAUUUUUUUCACCUAUUGUUGAGUGGAUUUCCUCCGGUUUAAAGAACAUUGUGCAUUUGUUGUCGUCCACCUCCUCUUGGCUGAUCUCUACUUCUUUCUCAUCCCGUGCACCGUUGUUUGAUUUUGCUUCAAGUAAAUGCUCAUCAAUUACUCCAGCUGGCAACUCUUUGAACAAGUCGAUCUCUUUCUCAUCCUCUACACCGUUGUUUGGUUCUGCUUCAAGUAAAUGCUCAUCAAUUACUCCAGCUGGCAACUCUUUGAACAAGUCAAUCUCUUUCUCAUCCUCUACACUGUUGUUUGGUUCUGCUUCAAGUAAAUGCUCAUCAAUUUUGGAAAUGGCUAGUUCCUCAUCAAUUAGUCCAACUGGCAACACUUCUAAUAAUAAGUUAAUCUCUUGGUCUUUCUCUGUGGACUGCAAAUUCUCUGCUUCAUCUGGCGAAGAAGUAUCAAUUGGCAGAUCAGAUUCUUUCUCACCAUUGCUAUUUCCAAUGUCCUUUUCAAGUUCACCAACGGCAUCCACUUGAUCAGCUUUUGGCAAUGACCACAGUUUCUUAUCUUCUGAGUUAAUAUCCACUAGAAUCUGAUCAUUAACUUCCACCACCCCUGGUUUUUGCUCUUUAGUUAGACCAUUCACUUCCAAGACAUCAUCGGCGUUGAACUUGUGCUCGGGAAUAGAUGACAAGGGAGUCGCAUGCCCAAGGUUGGGUAGGUUCGGUGAUUUACCUCCAUCUUCUAUUCUUGGUGUUCUAUGACUUGCUUCCAUACUAUUAUUCUCUGUUUUCCCAUCUAUGCCUUGUUCAACAAAAGGAAGCUCUGCGAUCUCACCAUCCUUGCCAUCCACCAUGCGUGUAAUGUCGUUUGCAUUUUCUGUCGACUCCUCCAAAUCAGCUGACGCAUUUUCACUCUCCUUUUCCAUGCUGAUAUUUUCAGACACUUGACCAUUAGAACAAUCAGCAGAUUCAGUAGUGCCCAAAUCCUUGGCCUUUCCUUCAGUCCACCUUCUUGUUAGAGAAUCAAGCUUUUCUUGUAGAGACACAAGCUCCUUGACUAAUGAUUUCCUUAAAUCUCGCACACUUGAGUGCAAACCCUGAA
rnacentral:lncRNA from 1 species